CCCGCGCCGUAUUAGCUAGUUGGUGGGGUAACGGCCUACCAAGGCGACGAUACGUAGCCGACCUGAGAGGGUGAUCGGCCACACUGGAACUGAGACACGGUCCAGACUCCUACGGGAGGCAGCAGUAGGGAAUCUUCCGCAAUGGGCGAAAGCCUGACGGAGCAACGCCGCGUGAGUGAUGAAGGUCUUCGGAUCGUAAAGCUCUGUUGUUAGGGAAGAACAAAUGUGUAAGUAACUGUGCACAUCUUGACGGUACCUAACCAGAAAGCCACGGCUAACUACGUGCCAGCAGCCGCGGUAAUACGUAGGUGGCAAGCGUUAUCCGGAAUUAUUGGGCGUAAAGCGCGCGUAGGCGGUUUUUUAAGUCUGAUGUGAAAGCCCACGGCUCAACCGUGGAGGGUCAUUGGAAACUGGAAAACUUGAGUGCAGAAGAGGAAAGUGGAAUUCCAUGUGUAGCGGUGAAAUGCGCAGAGAUAUGGAGGAACACCAGUG
rnacentral:rRNA from 1 species